rnacentral:rRNA from 1 species
GAUGAACGCUAGCUACAGGCUUAACACAUGCAAGUCGAGGGGUAACGAGAGGAAAGCUUGCUUUCCUUGUCGACGACCGGCGCACGGGUGAGUAACGCGUAUCCAACCUGCCCCCAACUAGGGAAUAACCUUGCGAAAGUAAGACUAAUACCCUAUAAUUUCCUCAGAUGACAUCUGACGAGGAAUAAAGAUUUAUCGGUUGUGGAUGGGGAUGCGUCUGAUUAGCUUGUUGGCGGGGUGACGGCCCACCAAGGCAACGAUCAGUAGGGGUUCUGAGAGGAAGGUCCCCCACAUUGGAACUGAGACACGGUCCAAACUCCUACGGGAGGCAACAGUGAGGAAUAUUGGUCAAUGGGCGGAAGCCUGAACCAGCCAAGUAGCGUGCAGGAUGACGGCCCUAUGGGUUGUAAACUGCUUUUAUACAGGAAUAAAGUUAGCCACGUGUGGAUAUUUGUAGGUACUGUACGAAUAAGGACCGGCUAAUUCCGUGCCAGCCGCCGCCGUAA